CAUCGAUGAGAGAGAAACAUCGAUCAGCUGCCUCCUGCACAUCUCCCACUGUGGAUGUGCCCGCAACCCAGGUACAUGCCCUUGACCGGAAUCGAACCUGGGACCAUUCAGUCCGCAGGCUGACGCUCUAUCCACUGAGCCAAAUCGGUUUCGGCUGGUUCUUUUUUAAAAAUUAAUUUAUUUUUAUAUUUUUAUUGAUUUCAGAGAGGAAGGAGAGGGAGAGAGAGAUAGAAACAUCAAUGAUGAGAGUCAUUGAUCGGUUGCCUCCUGCACGCCCCCUACUAGGGAUCAAGCCCUAAACCAGGGCAUGUGCCCUUGACUGGAAUCAAACCUGGGACCCUUCAGUCUUCAGGCCGAUGCUCUAUCCACUGAGCCAAACCAGCUAGGGUUGGUUCUUUUUUUAUGUUUGUUUUUUUGUAAGAGAACAUUUUUUUGGUAAAUUACAGAGGUAGAAGUAAUUCCUAGAAGAAAUGGGCUUAGGAAACAAGUUAUGGAGGUAAAGGAAGGGUCCUGGGAGCUUGGGCGUGAGGAGGCUAAUGGUAAUGAGCCUGGAGGAGGGGUGGGGGAGAGAAAUGCACCGGUCGUGCUCCCAGGAGGGAGAGCAUGCUGGGUCCUCAUCCUAAGGUGUUUGGUUUUUUUUGUGUGUUUUUUUUUAUUGAUCUCAGAGAGGAAGGGAGAGAGAAAGAUGGAAACAUCAAUGAUGACAGAGAAUCAUUGAUCAGCUGCCUUCUGCAUGCCCCCUACUGGGGAUGGAGCCCACGACCCAGGCAUGUGCCUUUGACCGGAAUCAAACCCGGGACCCUUCAGUCCGCAGGCUCUAUCCACUGAGCCAAAGCGGUUAGGGCAGUUUUUAAAAUAUGUUUUUGAUUGAUUUUUAGAUAGAGAGGAAGGGAGGAGAGAAACAUCGAUGGGCUGCCUUUUGCAUGCCCCUUAGUGGGGAUCAAGCCUGCAACCCGGGCAAGUGCCCUGACCUGGAACCAAACCGGGGCCCUCUUGGUUCAUGGGAUGAAGUUCAAUCCACUGAGCCACACCGGCAGGCAGUCCUAAGGUUUUAAGGGUGGAGAUUUUAGGGGACGUCCUAGGCCUAGGGCCUAGGGCAGCGGGGAAGUUCUCAAUAGAAUACAGGUGUUAGCAGUUUUCCAGGUGUGUCCAUUCAGGGUUGUGGUGUCCACGGAUUGACUGGCCGGCACCAGGGGGGUCAUUAUUCCACGCAGCUGGUCCUGGAGCUGAACCACAACUGAGGCCUAGCUGUUACCUCUGGUUUGAUUGAAACUCUGUCUCUGGGUCCACAGGCCCGAGGCUUUGUUCCCAAGAUUAUUUGAUGCUCAUCAGAACCUUGUUGUCCUGAGGGCUUAAUGCUUAAGGGAGUUCACGUGCAAGGGAGAAGGAGGCAGGUGGGUGAGUCAGGGUGCUGUUGAGGCCAAUUUGAAUCAAAAGGACAGAAAGGAGAAAAGGUCAUAUGAGAGAAAUGAAGUUUCUACGAGGUUACAUAAAUGCACACCCUUUCUCUGAAUGGCCGUUCAACCCUUCGUUGAUGAUUCUUUGAGCCUUGAAAAUUUUCAUGUGUUAGAAAAAGCACAACUGCACAUAUUUUAACUCACAUCUUCUAAUUCUUUCAUCCAGUUUCCCCUCCCACUUCUGUUUUCUUGACUCUUUUCUGUGUUUGUUUAUCUGGGUAUUUAUUUAGAGGCCGCCAUGGGUGGCAUUGGCUGGGCUCUGGGAUACCCAGCUCUGGCUCACCGCCCCGGGAGAAAGACUAUCAUUCCACAAAUAGUGACAAACGUGAUGAGGGCUACUACUGGGACAGUAGAGUAUUGUCAAAUGUGUUGACCUGGGGGUCUCAGGAAGACCUCCCUGAGUAAGGUUUAAAGCCGAGUCUUGAAGGAUGACGUGUCAGUCAGGAAUGCUUUGGGCUGCACACAACGGAAAAUCAAACAGUGAAGCCACGAGGAUGUUGAUUGUUUCCUUAAGAAGCCUGAGAGCAAAGGGCCCCGAGUCUUUAAGUGGCUCAACAACAUCAAGAGCCGUGAGCUGACAUCUCUGCGAUUCUCUUUUCCCUCAGUCGUUUUUCAACCUCAGGCCACAGAUCCGAGCGUGACCUUACGUAACAUCAUCCCGAAACAAAGAGAAGAGAAAGGGCUCAGGUUCCCAAACCACUCUUUCAAAAAGGACACCAGCAUUCCUUGGCAAGUUCCCAGGAGUGUUCUUCUUGUGCCUUUUGCUCAAAAGGAAGUCAUAUGCCCACCUCAGAUGAGCAAAGAGGAAGGGUUUACCAUGAUUGGCAUAAACCAGCCAUGAUUUAUUCCAUAGCACAGUGAGGACCCUACUAUCUCUGAAGAUAAUUGGAUCCCUCCAUGGAGGGUAUGAGGGCCCAUGAAUUCUGGAUAUGGAAGCCUAGAUAAUUCAAACAAAUAUUCAUACCAAUAAAAACUUUUUAAAAAACUAAGAAAUCAUCUUUUAAGACAUCAGAGAAGUAACAGGAUUUGAGGAAUCGCUGAAUCGAGAUGCUGAGAUACUGCAGAGGAUGGGAAAGUGGAGAUGUGAAGCCUUUCUUGAAGGCUGCUUAUACCUUGGGAAUUUUGUUCUGGAAAAGUAUGGGCUGCAAUUCUGGCAGUCUCAGGGGGCUGGGAUGAAAAUGUCCGAGUUAGAGUCCUGCCAAGAAUGAGGACCACAGUGAACACGUCUCACUUUUGAGUGUGAUGCUAAAGGGAUGCACGCUAGGGGUAAGAGCGACCCAGGAAAUCUCAAGCCCUGAACUUGCUUUAAGGUGGUUCCCAAUUGCUAGUGCCCUCAAGAGUCAGCAAAAAAAUAAAAUAAUAAAAGUUCUCUUUAGAGGAAGAUAAUAUUAUCUUGAGCUCCAAGGCACUUCUAUAAAUAAUUUUUUAAAAAUGUCUAGCACACAAAGAUAACCCAAGGAUAUAAGACAGCAUGAAUAAGAGGUACAACAGAUAGUAGAAAUAGACUCAUAGGGUCUCCAGAUAUGAAAUUAUCAGCAUAGAUUACAAAACAAUUGUGUUUGUUAUGUUCAAGAAAUAAAAGCCAAGAGUGGAAAAUUUGGCUGGGAACUGGAGAUUAAAAAAAAAAAAAAAAAAAAAAAGAUACAACAAAUUUAACAGAUUAAAAAUGUAAACUCUGGAAUUUAAAACAAAAUAAUCAAAAUUAAGAAACAGUUUAGCUGCAGAUUAGAAAUAGCAGAAAGGAAAAUUAAUGGACUGGAAUAUAGGUCAGAAGGAAAUCUUUAGAACGAUGCAUAAUAGAAUAAAAAGAUAGAAAAUGUAGAGGAAUGGGUAAAAGACAUGGAUGUCACAAUGAAAAGGGCUAAAUAGAGUCCUAUAAGGAGAGGAUAGAAUGAGCAUAGGCAAUAGUUGAAGGAAAAUGGCUCAAAUUUUUCCAGAAUUGAUGAAACACACUAAAUCAUACAUGUAAGAAUCCAACAAAUCCUAAGCAGGAUUAAAACAACAACAACAAACACCAUGGCCUCACACAUUACACUGAAACUGCAGAACACCAAAGACAAAGAAAACUUAGUAAAAGCGUCAGAAUAAAGCUGACCAAUUACCUUCAGAGGUAAUUUGAGGUCUCACUAUUUAGAGGUCUCACUUCCUGGUUUCAAAGCUUACUACAAAGCUAUGGUAACCAAGACUGUGUGGCAGGAGCAUACGUGUAGCCAGACAGGUCACUGGAGUAGAAUCAGGUUCUAUAAUACAACAUCUGUGUAUUGUAUUGUGUACUCACCCCCCAAUUGAAAUAUAUUUUUAUUGAUUUCAGAGAGAGGAAAGGAGAGGGAGAGAGAGAGAGAAAUAUCAAUAAUGAGAGAGAAUCAUUGAUUGGCUGGCCUCCUGCACACCCCACACUAGGGACCAAGCCUGCAACCCAGGCAUGAGACCUGACUGGGAAUCAAACCGCGAAGUCCUGGUUCAUAGGUCAACACUCAACCCCUGAGCCAUCUGGCAGGGCUCACCACCCAAUUUAAAAUCCAACUAUUUUAAAUCCUACUGUUUUCUCUUUACUAGAAAUGAAGAGAGAUACUUUAUAAUUAUAAAAGUUCAAGUCACUAGGAAGAUAUAACAAUUCUAAAUAUGUUGUGCCUAGUAACAUGACCUCAAUGCAUUUAAAUAAAAAAUUUAAAUAAACAAAUAUCUGAUCAUGUAGAGAUUUUCAUAUACUCUCUCAGUAGACAAAAAAAGAAAUCAGUAAAGAUAUAGGAAAUUUGCAUAAUACUAUUAACUGACUUUACCAAAUAAAUAUAUAAAACAUUAUACCUGCAAAGCUGCAAAAUACACAUUUGUCUCAAACACACAUACAGUAUUUACCAAAAUUGACCAUAUUCUAAACCAUAGAACUAGUUUUAACAAAUCCAAAGGAUGGAAAUCAUUCAGAGUUCAUUCCUUAGCCACAAUACAAUUAUGCUAGAAAUAAAAACAAAAGGAGUACCCCAUAGGAAAUAUAGUCAAUAAUAUUGUAACAACUACGUAUUAUGCCAGUUGGACACUGGGAUCUAUUAGAGAGGGAACACUUUGUAAAGUAUGUGAUUGUCUAACCACUAUGCUGCACACCUGAAACUAAUAUAAAAUAAUAUUGAAUGUAAAUUGUAAUUAAAUUUAAAAAAUAAAUAAAUAAAACACCCAAAAGGAUAGUCAGAAAACCUCAUAUGUUUGGAAAUAAAACAAUAUGCUUCUAAAUAAUACAUGGAUCAAAGAAGAAAUUCUAAUAAAAUUUUAAAAUACUACAUAUUAAAAGUUAUGGGAUACAAGCCAUUCUUUUGAGGAAAAUUUAUGGCCUUACAUAGUUACAUAAGGAAAGGAGAGCUGAAAAUUAAUAAAUGAAAUAUGCACCAAAAAGUAGAAAAAGAAUAGCAAAUUAAACUUGAUGAAAUUAGAAAGAAGGAAAUAAAUCUGAUUGAAAACACACACACAAUAGAAUAAAAAAAAAAACAGAAGUUGGUAUUUUAAAAAGACUAACGAAACCUAAUAAAUCUUUGAUGAGAUGAUAAAAAGAAAAAAAGAGAAAGACAUAAAUAAACCCGAUCAGGAAUGAAAACCAGGGCAUUACCAUAGUCCCUGGAGAACUUAAAAAGAAACUAGGAGGAUGUUAGGAACUUUAAGCUAAAGCAUUUAAAAGGUUUUAUGAAAUGGGAUAAGUUCCCAAGGGGAAAAAAGACAGUUUAUGAAAUUUUACCAAAGAAGAAAUAGAAGUUCUGAAUAUGCCAAUAACUUAAUAGAAUUGAAAUAAUAGUUAAACAUUUCCCCACAAUGCAUGUUCCAGGCCCACAAAGCUUCAUCAGCAACUUUUUUAAAAAAUAUAUUUUUUUAUUGAUUUCAGAGAGAAAGGGAGAGGGAGAGAGAGAGAGAGAGAAACUUCAAUGAUGAGGGAGAAUCAUUGAUUGGCUGCCUCCUGCAUGCCCCCUACUGGGGGUCAAGCCCGCAACCCAGGCAUGUGCCCUGGACCUACCCUGGGACCCUUCGUCCGCAGGCCAACGCUCUAUCCACUGAGCCAAGCCAGCUAGGGCCAUAGCAACUUCUAUCAAACAGAAGAGAUUAGGUCAAUUUUAUACAAACUUUUAGAGAAUAGAAAUAGUUUUCCAAACAUUUUCCAAAUCAUUCUGAGGCUAGUAUAAUGUAUUGUAAAUGUUAAACAUUUUUCCUAUGUAUUAUGCUGUUUUGACAUCCUAAAAAUCACCUUUCUGCUUGGGGAGAAGCAUUCUUAGAGAUAGCAAAGGAUCCGGCCUGGAGCAUGGUCCAGAGCCUUCCUCCUCUAUCUGGUCUUUGCAUCCCAAAAGGAGAUACUCCUCUACCUUAAGCAUCCCAGGGCCAGGGGUCAGGCAACUAGGGACCGCUCCUAGGGCCCAAAGCUAGCCAAACUUCUUCAAACUAUCCAGCCCUAAACCAUUCACCCUGCCCUGCCUGGCCUUUCCCACAGGAACCUCAGUAAAGGCGGUGGCCUAACCUCACCCGUCCCUAUUGUUUUCUGCCUCCUGACUACCCUGGAGUCUUUCAGAUUUGGCCCUGUGUCGACUUGUCAUGCCUCCUGCCUUUAAGACCUAUGAGUGUAUUAUAAACUUUUUCCCCCUGAGCCUUUCCUCUUGUGAUCUCAUCUAACUGAGCAUCUCAUCAAAACCACAAAACCAAGUAUGAGGAAGAAAAAUUACAGGUAAGUCUCAUUCACAAGCAGUGACACAAAAAAUCCUAAAUAAAUAUUAGGAAGUUGAAUCCAGUAAUAUAUAAAAAAAGAAUGAUACAUCGUGUCCAAUUUGUGUUUUUUAUUAUUUUAGUAAUGCAAGCAAAGCUUAAUUUUCCAAAAAAAAAAAAAUCAAUGAAUGAAUUUACUACUUUAACAAACCACAUAAGAAAAAAAAAAUCAUAAAUCAUCUCAAUAGCUGCAGGAAAAAAUAUUUAAUAAAAUUCAACAUUUAUGGUAUAAAGUCUCAGCAAA